UGGUGGGGUGACCCGUCUGGUUAAUUUCGAUAACGAACGAUAUCCGAGCUGUUUAGUUGGCUGCCCCUGCACUUACAGGGUCUAGUCUCCUAUAUGGACUGUCAGUAUGAAGCUGAAGGAAGCUUCGGGCUAAAUCA
rnacentral:rRNA from 1 species